CUUUCAAAAGUGCAUAGCCUGUACUGCUUUAUGCAGAAGCACGUGCAACACUAUUUUUCAUGUCAAAAAUGAAACAUCUCACCUUUUGCUUUUUCCCCCCUUCUCUCCCACUUUCUUCUUCUUCCUUCUUUCAAGAAUCUAGAGUGUUCUCCACAUCUAUUCUCACCCUUGCUCAUUUGCUCUUUAUCAAAUUCUGAUAUCGUCUUUAAUCUCUGUUUAGCCCUCGAAUUUCUCUUCGUACCUGUUGUAUUACGAUAAUGAUUGUGGUCACGUGUUUGACGAAAUUCCCCAAUGAAGGCAAUACUUAUGUGUUAUGAAAAUUGAUCAGUUUCAACAGCUGGGUUGUCUUGGCAGAUGUUAAUGAAGUUGAACUAUCUACUAAGGUCGAUUCAAGUUUGCUCAAUAGGGAGAAUGAAAUGAAUCAGUUAACUUUUUGUCAAGGAAAUGAAUCAGUUAACUUUUUGUGAAGCCUUCGUUAUUUAGCUUCGCUGGAACCCCUAACAACUCCCUAUGCUAUGGUUUUGGGAUGAUGAAGAAGAUCAGCAACUAAAAAUGAACAGCAGCAUCCUCUACAUAUGAUAUGAUAAGCAAUCACAUGUUGAUCUCAUAUGUCAAAAAAAAUAUUUUGAUUUUUUUAUCUUAGUUAAUAUGGAUCAUCUUGAUGUCCAAUAUCAGUUGUACAUAUAUUUUGAAUAUCUCUAAUAGUAUAUAACAUAUCA